UACGUAGGGUGCGAGCGUUAAUCGGAAUUACUGGGCGUAAAGCGUGCGCAGGCGGUUUGUUAAGACAGAUGUGAAAUCCCCGGGCUUAACCUGGGAACUGCAUUUGUGACUGGCAAGCUAGAGUAUGGCAGAGGGGGGUAGAAUUCCACGUGUAGCAGUGAAAUGCGUAGAGAUGUGGAGGAACACCGAUGGCGAAGGCAGCCCCCUGGGUCAAGAUUGACGCUCAUGCACGAAAGGCGU
rnacentral:rRNA from 1 species